rnacentral:rRNA from 1 species
GAUGAACGCUCGCUACAGGCUUAACACAUGCAAGUCGAGGGGAAACGACAUCGAAAGCUUGCUUUUGAUGGGCGUCGACCGGCGCACGGGUGAGUAACGCGUAUCCAACCUGCCCAUCACUUGGGAAUAACCUUGCGAAAGUAAGACUAAUACCCAAUGAUAUCCCACGAAGGCAUCGGAAUGGGAUUAAAGAUUUAUCGGUGAUGGAUGGGGAUGCGUCUGAUUAGCUUGUUGGCGGGGUAACGGCCCACCAAGGCAACGAUCAGUAGGGGUUCUGAGAGGAAGGUCCCCCGCAUUGGAACUGAGACACGGUCCAAACUCCUACGGGAGGCAGCAGUGAGGAAUAUUGGUCAAUGGGCGAGAGCCUGAACCAGCCAAGUAGCGUGCAGGAAGACGGCCCUAUGGGUUGUAAACUGCUUUUAUAAGGGAAUAAAGUGGGUCACGUGUGACUUUUUGCAUGUACCUUAUGAAUAAGGACCGGCUAAUUCCGUG